rnacentral:rRNA from 1 species
CACACUAUCAUUAACUGAAUCCAUAGGUUAAUGAGGCGAACCGGGGGAACUGAAACAUCUAAGUACCCCGAGGAAAAGAAAUCAACCGAGAUUCCCCCAGUAGCGGCGAGCGAACGGGGAGCAGCCCAGAGCCUGAAUCAGUGUGUGUGUUAGUGGAAGCGUCUGGAAAGGCGCGCGAUACAGGGUGACAGCCCCGUACACAAAAAUGCA